rnacentral:rRNA from 1 species
UACGUAGGGUGCGAGCGUUGUCCGGAAUUAUUGGGCGUAAAGAGCUCGUAGGCGGUUUGUCGCGUCGGCCGUGAAAACUUGGGGCUUAACCCCAAGCCUGCGGUCGAUACGGGCAGACUUGAGUUCGGCAGGGGAGACUGGAAUUCCUGGUGUAGCGGUGAAAUGCGCAGAUAUCGGGAGGAACAUCAGUGGCGAAGGCGGCCUUCUGGUCCAGUACUGACACUCAAGUGCGAAAGCGUGGGGAGCAAACAGG